AGUGACGAAAAAUAACGAUACGGGACUCAUCCGAGGCCCCGUAAUCGGAAUGAGCACACUUUAAAUCCUUUAACGAGUAUCCAUUGGAGGGCAAGUCUGGUGCCAGCAGCCGCGGUAAUUCCAGCUCCAAUAGCGUAUAUUAAAGUUGUUGCGGUUAAAAAGCUCGUAGUCGGACUUGUGUCCCGCGCUGCCGGUUCACCGCCCGUCGGUGUCUAACUGGCUGAACGCGAGGACGUCCUGCCGGUGGCCGGAGCUGGGUGGUCUUUCCCCCCCUCAGGCGGGUUUCGGCCCGCCGAAAGGGGUGGUGGCCCUCGGCGAGGGCCUACAAAAU
rnacentral:rRNA from 1 species